GACGAACGCUGGCGGCGUGCUUAACACAUGCAAGUCGAACGGAAAGGCCCUGCUUUUGUGGGGUGCUCGAGUGGCGAACGGGUGAGUAACACGUGAGUAACCUGCCCUUGACUUUGGGAUAACUUCAGGAAACUGGGGCUAAUACCGGAUAGGAGCUCCUGCUGCAUGGUGGGGGUUGGAAAGUUUCGGCGGUUGGGGAUGGACUCGCGGCUUAUCAGCUUGUUGGUGGGGUAGUGGCUUACCAAGGCUUUGACGGGUAGCCGGCCUGAGAGGGUGACCGGCCACAUUGGGACUGAGAGACGGCCCAGACUCCUACGGGAGGCAGCGGUGGGGAAUAUUGCACAAUGGGCGGAAGCCUGAUGCAGCAACGCCGCGUGCGGGAUGACGGCCUUCGGGUGGUAAACCGCUUUCGCCUGUGACGAAGCGUGAGUGACGGUAAUGGGUAAAGAAGCACCGGCUAACUACGUG
rnacentral:rRNA from 1 species